CUUGCUUUGUGUGAUCUGUGUCCUCCUCCUUACCUUGCUGCAGUGGUCUGCCUUGCUCGUAAACAGAAGCCUCCUUUUUUUCUGUCUGCCGGUCACCCAUAGCGUCAAUAAUUGUUCGAGACACUUGUACAGCUAAUAGAAAAAAGCCUGUCAAGAAGAACAACUCAUUGUAAUAUUUCUGCUUUAAAGAGCCUGUGGGAAGCAGCAAAGCCAACCCGGCAGCAAACGUAUUUUUACCGCUGUUGCGUGGGCCCAGGGACAAGAGGUGUAAGUGGGCUUAAUUGUCCCGCAAAUGGAUGCUCUGUUUCACACCUCAACAAAGCUUCUGAUAUAUUGAUCCUUUAGCACUACAACAAUUUACCAUUGCUUAAAACUAAGUGAUGAGAUGCAACUAAUUCCCCCCUGCAAUAAUCACAAGGACAGCGGCUGUUCACCGUCCUCGGAUUGGACCCAAGUGCAGAACGCAUGCUAGGAGCUCUGGUUUCCUGGUCUGCAGAGGGUUAUGGGGUUUCUGCCAUCUCUUGAAAGAAAAAUUGAGCCAUUUUGUUUAAGCAUUUAAACAAGCAGUCCUUGUCCUGAGGUUGUCUUCAAGCCUUAGGGCGCCCAGUUGGAGGGAAGCUUGAUGCUAGCAGAGGCAGGAGGGAAGCRGCUUGCCUGGAAACUCCUGGGUGGAGGAUGGACACACAGCUGAGCUGAUUUAUCAAGCUAAAACUCUGCCUGCACCUUUAAGUCAUCCUGGAAGAGCUCGUAAGCCUGGGAUGGAGGCUGAACAGGGAACUCUCCCAUGACUGGCUUUGCUGCGGGAAGGGAGUCAAGCCUGGACUCCRUCCUGGAGGAAACACUGUCCUAAUAGAAGAUCCAAUAAAUGGAGUUUAGCAAGAGAUUUGUUUUGAUGUGUACCGGUCUGCUCAGUUAGCUACCAGACGUGGUUUGUUUAAUGACUGAAAUGGAAAGACUAGGAGCUCAUCUCGGCGAGAUAGGGAGAGAAUAUAGAUUAACACCCCCGGUUUCUCAAUGCAUCAUUGACUUUCCCUAUGUGCUGUGAGCAAACGUGCUGUUCAGGGCCCAUGAGAUGGGCAGAUUCAUUAAGAGAAACAGGACCUCAAAAGCUCYCCUGUAUGAGAGCCUUGCUGUGUAUCCUCAGUUUGGUAAAGAGCAAUCAGUGUUUCUUGAAAAAUAUUCUAUCAUUCUGUGCUCUUGGUCCCGAACCAGCUGGAAGACAGAAAGUAUUUGAAAGUUCUCCAUAAAGUCUUUGGUGAUGUCUACAGCACACUGAAUACUCAGGAGGCUCAAGGAUUUUAAUUAAAUGUCCAAACAUCUGUUUUACGAGACAAACCGACCCUGCAGAGAGCGGCUCUGCUGGAGCGUGGAGCGAGACCYGCCACAUGGAGCGGGGCUGUCCCGUGUACCCCGCGCCAGGAGGGACCCGGGACGGCGGCUCCCAGCACAAGAUGUUCCUGCUGGAGGGGAUUCCCACGGGACAGGGAGCAUCUGCCCUCCCGCCAGCUCCGCAGGCGGUGCUAUCCGAGGAGGAGCAGCGCGGGAUGGGAGGGAUCGAAGCGCUCCCUAUUCCUGCUGUGCUGCUUUAGCAGAUGUUUCCCGAGGAGYGCCGUCCAGCUGGCUCCAUCACAGCACUCCCCAGGCUGCUGCAGACUCCGCCGASUCUGGUGCAAAAUCAUCCCAAGAACCAGGAAACCACGGAUGUGCCUAUAAGACCCUGCAUUUGUCAAGUCUUGGCCUUAAUGUUUCUUCGUAUAGAAAUGAUGUGACUGCAGGAAAAAUGAGGCAACCUCACCACUGAAUUCAGCAGGGAAAGCUCUCCCC